GUAGUCAUAUGCUUGUCUCAAAGAUUAAGCCAUGCAUGUCUAAGUAUAAGCAACUUUGUACUGUGAAACUGCGAAUGGCUCAUUAAAUCAGUUAUAGUUUAUUUGAUGGUUUUUGCUACAUGGAUAACUGUGGUAAUUCUAGAGCUAAUACAUGCAUUCAAGCCCCGACUUCUGGAAGGGGUGUAUUUAUUAGAUAAAAAUCAACUUUGUUGGUGAAUCAUGAUAACUUCUCGGACCGCAUGGCCUCGUGCUGGCGGCGCUUCACUCAAAUAUCUGCCCUAUCAACUGUCGAUGGUAGGAUAGAGGCCUACCUUGGUUGCAACGGGUAACGGGGAAUG
rnacentral:rRNA from 1 species